AGUAACACGUAAACAACCUGCCUUCAGGAUGGGGGACGAACAGACGGAAACGGAACUGCUAAUACCGAAUAAGUUCCAAGAGCCGCAUGGCCCAUGGAGAAAAGGUGGCCUCUACCUGUAAGCUAUCGCCUGAAGAGGGGUUUGCGUCUGAUUAGCUGGUUGGAGGGGGUAACGGGCCCACCAAGGCGACGAUCAGUAGCCGGUCUGAGAGGAUGAACGGCCACAUUGGAACUGAGACACGGUCCAAACUCCUACGGGAGGCAGCAUG
rnacentral:rRNA from 1 species